AAUGAACGCUGGCGGCGUGCUUAACACAUGCAAGUCGAGCGCUCACUUCGGUGGGAGCGGCGGACGGGUUAGUAACGCGUGGGAAUAUGCCCUUCUCUACGGAAUAGCCUCUGGAAACGGAGAGUAAUACCGUAUACGCCCUUCGGGGGAAAGAUUUAUCGGAGAAGGAUUAGCCCGCGUUAGAUUAGAUAGUUGGUGGGGUAAUGGCCUACCAAGUCUACGAUCUAUAGCUGGUUUUAGAGGAUGAUCAGCAACACUGGGACUGAGACACGGCCCAGACUCCUACGGGAGGCAGCAGUGGGGAAUCUUGGACAAUGGGCGCAAGCCUGAUCCAGCCAUGCCGCGUGUGUGAUGAAGGCCUUAGGGUCGUAAAGCACUUUCGCCAGGGAUGAUAAUGACAGUACCUGGUAAAGAAAUCCCGGCUAACUCCG
rnacentral:rRNA from 1 species